CACCCCAGAAGGAAGCCCCGGAGCCUUUCCAGCCGCCCCUCGCCCUGCCCCCUGCCCCAGGCCCUGGCGACCACUACCUUCUGUCUCUUGGGGACAUUUCCUGUGAGGAGAUCGUAUGACAUGUGGGGUCUCGGGCACCGGCCUGGUCCCAGGUUUGGACCCCGCGCAGGUGCAGGACAGCUGCGGCGGGACCCUAAUCCCCGCUCAGCUCUGGGGGAGCAGACACAGCUUCAAGCCGCCAGACCACACAUGAGCCACGUGAGAAGUUCCUCUGAGAGUGCCAUCUGUUUCUGCUAGGACUCCGGCAGCCUUCAAACAUUGAUGUAGAGCUUGCUCAUCUGUCUGCCCCAAGAUCUACUUUCCUUCUGCCUUAAUAAAGUAACACUUUUAUUCUUAGCUGGGCAGGUGGCUACCCCUAAUGAAGAUUUCUUGUCCAGCCUCCUCUGCAAUUAGCUAUGGCCAUGCGACUUAGUUCUGCCCUGGUGGCGUAGCGGUUUAGCGCCGCCUGCAGCCCAGGGUGUGAUCCUGGAGACC